CCUACGGGUGGCAGCAGUGAGGAAUAUUGGUCAAUGGGCGCAAGCCUGAACCAGCCAAGUCGCGUGAGGGAUGACGGUCCUAUGGAUUGUAAACCUCUUUUGUCGGGGAGCAAGGCCCGCCACGUGUGGCGGGAAGGAGAGUACCCGAAGAAAAAGCAUCGGCUAACUCCGUGCCAGCAGCCGCGGUAAUACGGAGGAUGCGAGCGUUAUCCGGAUUUAUUGGGUUUAAAGGGAGCGUAGAUGGGUUGUUAAGUCAGUUGUGAAAGUUUGCGGCUCAACCGUAAAAUUGCAAUUGAUACUGGCAGUCUUGAGUACAGUUGAGGUAGGCGGAAUUCGUGGUGUAGCGGUGAAAUGCUUAGAUAUCACGAAGAACCCCGAUUGCGAAGGCAGCUUACUAAACUGUGACUGACAUUGAUGCUCGAAAGUGUGGGUAUCAAACAGGAUUAGAUACCCGAGUAGUC
rnacentral:rRNA from 1 species